AAGGAUGAAGAAUCUGAAUAAGGCUAUACCGAAUCCAAGGGAAACUGUGAAGAAGAAAGAAGACUACGAAGAAGGAAGCAGAUGAUUCUCUGACAUAAUAAGACAAUUCUCUGACAUAUGUGAUUCUCUCCAAGUUUAAUGGCUUGACACCAAAGUUCGAGAGGAAGGUUAGUCACGAGACCAUGCGCCUAGAGUAGCUACGGAACGAGAGAC
rnacentral:lncRNA from 1 species